GUGGGGAAUAUUGGACAAUGGGCGAAAGCCUGAUCCAGCCAUGCCGCGUGUGUGAAGAAGGUCUUCGGAUUGUAAAGCACUUUAAGUUGGGAGGAAGGUCAGUAAGUUAAUACCUUGCUGUUUUGACGUUACCAACAGAAUAAGCACCGGCUAACUUCGUGCCAGCAGCCGCGGUAAUACGAAGGGUGCAAGCGUUAAUCGGAAUUACUGGGCGUAAAGCGCGCGUAGGUGGUUUUGUAAGUUGGAGGUGAAAUCCCCGGGCUCAACCUGGGAACUGCCUCCAAAACUGCAUGACUAGAGUACGGUAGAGGGUAGUGGAAUUUCCUGUGUAGCGGUGAAAUGCGUAGAUAUAGGAAGGAACACCAGUGGCGAAGGCGACUACCUGGACUGAUACUGACACUGAGGUGCGAAAGCGUGGGGAGCAAACAGGAUUAGAAACCCUAGUAGUCC
rnacentral:rRNA from 1 species